rnacentral:rRNA from 1 species
GAUGAACGCUGGCGGCGUGCUUAACACAUGCAAGUCGAACGGAAAGGCCCUGCUUUUGUGGGGUGCUCGAGUGGCGAACGGGUGAGUAACACGUGAGUAACCUGCCCUUGACUUUGGGAUAACUUCAGGAAACUGGGGCUAAUACCGGAUAGGAGCUCCUGCUGCAUGGUGGGGGUUGGAAUGUUUCGGCGGUUGGGGAUGGACUCGCGGCUUAUCAGCUUGUUGGUGGGGUAGUGGCUUUCCAAGGCUUUGACGGGUAGCCGGCCUGAGGGGGUGACCGGCCACAUUGGGACUGAGAUACGGCCCAGACUCCACCGGGAGGCAGCAGUGGGGAAUAUUGCACAAUGGGCGGAAGCCUGAUGCAGCAACGCCGCGUGCGGAAUGACGGCCUUCGGGUGGUAAACCGCUUUCGCCUGUGACGAAGCGUGAGUGACGGUAAUGGGUAAAGAAGCACCGGCUAACUACGUG